GACGAACGCUGGCGGCGUGCUUAACACAUGCAAGUCGAACGGAACGGCACUGCUUUUGUGGGGUGCUCGAGUGGGGGACGGGUGAGUAACACGUGUGUAACCUGCCCUUGACUUUGGGAUAACUUCACGAAACUGGGGCUAAUACCGGAUAGGAGAUCCUGCUGCGUGGUGGGGGUUGGAAAGUUUCGGCGGUUGGGGAUGGACUCGCGGCUUAUCAGCUUGUUGUUGGGGUAGUGGCUUACCAAGGCGUGGAAGGGUAGCCGGCCUGAGAGGGUGACCGGCCACACUGGGACGGAGAUACGGCCCAGACUCCUACGGGAGGCAGCAGUGGGGAAUAGUGCACAAUGGGCGGAAGGCUGACGUAGCAACGCCGCGUGCGGGAAGACGUGCUUCGGGUUGUAAACCGCUUCCGCUUGAGACGAAGCGUGAGUGACGGUAAUGGGUAAAGAAGCACCGGCUAACUACGUG
rnacentral:rRNA from 1 species